rnacentral:rRNA from 1 species
GAUGAACGCUGGCGGCGUGCCUAAUACAUGCAAGUCGAGCGAACGGACGAGAAGCUUGCUUCUCUGAUGUUAGCGGCGGACGUGUGAGUAACACGUGGAUAACCUACCUAUCAGACUGGGAUAACUUCGGGAAACCGGCGCUAAUACCGGAUAAUAUUUUGAACCGCAUGGUUCAAAAGUGAAAGACGGUCUUGCUGUCACUUCUCGAUGCUUCCGGGCUGCAUUAGAUAGUUGGUACGUUAACGGCUUACCAAGGCAACGAUGCAUAGACGACCUGAGAGAGUGAUAGGCCACACUGGAACUGAGACACGGUCCAGACUCCUACGGGAGGCAGCAGUAGGGAAUCUUCCGCAAUGGGCGAAAGCAUGACGGAGCAACGCCGCGUGAGUGAUGAAGGUCUUCGGAUCGGAAAACUCUGUUAUUAGGGAAGAACAUAUGUGUAAGUAACUGUGCACAUCGUGACGGUACCUAAUCAGGAAGCAACGGCUAACUACGUG